rnacentral:rRNA from 1 species
GAGGUUUGAUUAUGACUCCAGAUUGAACGCUGGCGGGAUGCCCCACACAUACAGUCGAACGGCAGCACGGACUUCGGUCUGGUGGCAUGGUGGCGAACAGGUGAAAUGUAUCGGAACAUGCCUAGUAGCGGGGAUGUAACUACGCGAGGGCGUAGCUAAUACCGCAUACACCCUUCGGGGAAAGCGGGGAGACCUUCAGACUCACUAUUAGAGCAGCCGGUAUCGGAUUAGCUAGUUAGUGCGGGGUAACGGCUCACCAAGGCGACGAUCCGUAGCUGGUUUGAAGGGACGACCAGCCACACUGGGACUGAGAGACACGGCCCAGACUCCUACGGGAGGCAACAGUGGGGAAUUUUGGACAAUGGGGGAAACCCUGAUCCAGCCAUCCCGCGUGUGCCGGUGAAGGCCUUCAGUUUGUAAAGCACUUUUGGCAGGAGGAAAGAAACGGCGCGGGAUAAUACCCCGUGCAACUGACGGUACCUGCAGAAUAAGCACCGGCUAACUACGUGCCAGCGAGCGCAGUAAUACGUAGGGUGCAAGCGUUAAUCGGAAUUACUGGGCGUAAAGCGUGCGCAGGCGGUUCGGAAGAAGAUGUGAAAUCCCAGAGCUUAGCUUUGGAACUGCAUUUUUAACUACCGAGCUAGAGUGUCAGAGGAGGUGGAAUUCCGCGUGUAGCAGUGAAAUGCUGGAGUAUGCGGAGAACACCGAUGGCGAAGGCCAGCCUCCUGGAACAACACUGACGCUCAUGCACGAAAAGCAUUAAGGGCAAACAGGAUUGGUGCCUGUUCGUCCACGCCCUAAACGAUGUCCGUAGCUGGUAGGGCCUUCGGGCCAUGGUGGCCCCCAGCUAACGCGUGAAGUUGAUACGCCUGGGGAGAGUACGGUCGCAAAGAUUAAGAAACUCAAAGGAAUUGACGGGGACCCGCACAAGCGGUGGAUGAUGUGGAUUAAUUCCGUGCAAACGCGAAAAACCUUACCUACCCUUGACAUGUCACGGUCGAAGAUUUGUGGAGUGUCGCAGAGGACGGAACACAGGUGCUGCAUGGCUGUCGUCAGCUCGUGUCGCUGGAAUGUUGGUUAAGUCCACCAACGGCGCAACCCGCUGUCAUUGAUUACUUUGAAGACGCUGUAAUGAGACUGCCAGUGACAAACCGGAGAGGUGGGGAUGACGUCAGUCCUCUUUCAGCCCUUAUGGGUGAGGGCUUCACACGUCCAUACAAUGGUCGCGGGACAGAGGGUCGCCAACCGCAGGAACAAUCCCGAGCCGAUCGUAGUCCGGAUCACCAGUCGCAACUCGACUGCGCGUGAAGUCUGAAUCGCUUUAAAUAAUCGCGGAUCAGCAUGUCGCGGUGAAUACGUUCCCGGGUCUUGUACACCGCCCGUCACCAUGGGAGUGGGUUUUACCGAAGUAGUUAGCCUAACCGUAAGGAGGGCGAUUACAUUAGGAUUCAUGACUGGGGUA